GCGAGCCUAGUGCAGUGAUAGAGCAUACCGUCUGUAACUAGAAGGUCUCGGGUUCGAUCUCCGGCUUUUGCA
rnacentral:tRNA from 7 species